rnacentral:misc_RNA from 1 species
GCUGUUUAAAACCCGGCGAUGAAACCUUUAAACAAACAGGCUACAUAUUAAUAUACAUAGUAAGCCAUAAGUUUGAGUAACUUUGGUUUUAUUUCAAAUCCGACCCUCAGCCAGACGUGGUCUAAAAUUUACUUUAGACCGCCAUUUGCGUUCGAAACGUCGGUGUUCAUGUGUCCUGCAGUUCACACGUCUGCACGCAGUUAGCUGCGUUCUUCAUCGAUGCUCGUCUGACCAG